AUUGAACGCUGGCGGCAGGCCUAACACAUGCAAGUCGAACGAGUGGCGGACGGGUGAGUAAUGUCUGGGAAACUGCCCGAUGGAGGGGGAUAACUACUGGAAACGGUAGCUAAUACAGCAUACCAUCGGAUGUGCCCAGAUGGGAUUAGCGAGUAGGUGGGGUAACGGCUCACCUAGGCGACGAUCCCUAGCUGGUCUGAGAGGAUGACCAGCUGCACUGGAACUGAGACACGGUCCAGACGCCUACGGGAGGCAGCAGUGGGGACGAUUGCACAAUGGGUGCAAGCCUGAUGCAGCCAUGCCGCGUGUAUGAAGAAGGCCUUCGGGUUUGAAAGUACUUUCAGCGAGGAGGCGUUACUCGCAGAAGAAGCACCGGCUAACUCCGUGCCAGCAGCCGCGGUAAUUC
rnacentral:rRNA from 1 species